AGUGAACGCUGGCGGCAGGCCUAACACAUGCAAGUCGAACGGCAGCGCAGCCCCGCAAGGGGUGGGCGGCGAGUGGCGGACGGGUGAGGAACACAUCGGAAUCUACCCUUUCGUGGGGGAUAACGUAGGGAAACUUACGCUAAUACCGCAUACGAACUACGGUUGAAAGCGGCGGCCGCAAGGCGUCGCGCGAUUGGAUGAGCCGAUGUCCGAUUAGCUAGUUGGCGGGGUAAGGGCCCACCAAGGCGACGAUCGGUAGCUGGUCUGAGAGGAUGAUCAGCCACACUGGAACUGAGACACGGUCCAGACUCCUACGGGAGGCAGCAGUGGGGAAUAUUGGACAAUGGGCGCAAGCCUGAUCCAGCCAUGCCGCGUGUGUGAAGAAGGCCUUCGGGUUGUAAAGCACUUUUGUUGGGGAAGAAAAGCCAGCGGUUAAUACCCGCGGGUUCUGACGGUACCCAAAGAAUAAGCACCGGCUAACUUCGUGCCAGCCGCCGCAGUAACAC
rnacentral:rRNA from 1 species